rnacentral:rRNA from 1 species
UGUGCCAGCAGCCGCGGUAAUACGUAGGUGGCAAGCGCUGUCCGGAAUUAUUGGGCGUAAAGCGCGCGCAGGCGGUUAUGUAAGUCUGAUGUUAAAGCCCGGGGCUCAACCUCGGUCCGCAUUGGAAACUGCGUAACUUGAGUGCAGAAGAGGAAAGUGGUAUUCCACGUGUAGCGGUGAAAUGCGUAGAGAUGUGGAGGAACACCAGUGGCGAAGGCGACUUUCUGGUCUGUAACUGACGCUGAGGCGCGAAAGCGUGGGGAGCAAACAGGAUUAGAUACCCCGGUAGUCC